rnacentral:rRNA from 1 species
CAGUAGCCGCGGUAAAACGUAGGGUGCGAGCGUUAAUCGGAAUUACUGGGCGUAAAGCGUGCGCAGGCGGUUCGUUAAGACAGAUGUGAAAUCCCCGGGCUUAACCUGGGAACUGCAUUUGUGACUGACGGGCUAGAGUAUGGCAGAGGGGGGUAGAAUUCCACGUGUAGCAGUGAAAUGCGUAGAGAUGUGGAGGAAUACCGAUGGCGAAGGCAGCCCCCUGGGCCAAUACUGACGCUCAUGCACGAAAGCGUGGGGAGCAAACAGGAUUAGAUACCCCCGUAGUCCCUGUCUCUUAUAC